GACGGAGGGGGCAAGCGUUGUCCGGAAUCACUGGGCGUAAAGAGCGCGUAGGUGGUCGCGUCAGUCGGCGGUGAAAGCCCCCGGCUCAACCGGGGGAGGUCUGCCGAUACUGCGUGACUUGAGGACCGGAGAGGGAAGUGGAAUUCCCGGUGUAGCGGUGAAAUGCGUAGAGAUCGGGAGGAACACCCGUGGCGAAGGCGGCUUCCUGGACGGUCCCUGACGCUGAGGCGCGAAAGCCAGGGGAGCGAAC
rnacentral:rRNA from 1 species